GACAGAGGGUGCAAACGUUGUUCGGAAUUACUGGGCGUAAAGCGCGUGUAGGCAGCUAAGCAAGUCGGAUGUGAAAGCCCUGGGCUCAACCUAGGAAGUGCAUUCGAAACUGCAUAGCUUGAGUUCUGGAGAGGAAGGCGGAAUUCUCGGUGUAGAGGUGAAAUUCGUAGAUAUCGGGAGGAACACCGGUGGCGAAGGCGGCCUUCUGGACAGCAACUGACGCUGAGACGCGAAAGCGUGGGGAGCAAACAGG
rnacentral:rRNA from 1 species